AAAAAAUUAGUUAAUUUAUAACAUUAAAAUGUCAAUUUAAAAUAAUUAAAAAAUUAAUAUUUUUUA
rnacentral:tRNA from 1 species